GAGUUUGAUCUUGACUCAGAACGAACGCUGGCGGCAGGCUUAACACAUGCAAGUCGAACGAGCUGAGUCCUUCGGGACUCUAUGCUAGUGGCGCACGGGUGAGUAACGCGUGGGAACGUACCCUUUAGUACGGAAUAACCCAGGGAAACUUGGGCUAAUACCGUAUGACUCCUUCGGGAGAAAGAUUUAUCGCUAAAGGAUCGGCCCGCGUCAGAUUAGGUAGUUGGUGAGGUAACGGCUCACCAAGCCGACGAUCUGUAGCUGGUCUGAGAGGAUGAUCAGCCACACUGGGACUGAGACACGGCCCAGACUCCUACGGGAGGCAGCAGUGGGGAAUAUUGGACAAUGGGCGCAAGCCUGAUCCAGCCAUGCCGCGUGAGUGAUGAAGGCCUUCGGUUGUAAAGC
rnacentral:rRNA from 1 species